AAUGGGGGAAACCCUGAUGCAGCGAUGCCGCGUGAGUGAAGAAGGCCCUUGGGUUGUAAAACUCUUUCGUCGGGGAAGAAAAUGACUGUACCCGAAUAAGAAGGUCCGGCUAACUUCGUGCCAGCAGCCGCGGUAAUACGAAGGGACCUAGCGUAGUUCGGAAUUACUGGGCUUAAAGAGCUCGUAGGUGGUUAAAAAAGUUGAUUGUGAAAUCCCAAGGCUCAACCUUGGAACUGCAAUCAAAACUUUUUAGCUAGAGUGUGAUAGAGGAAAGUGGAAUUUCUAGUGUAGAGGUGAAAUUCGUAGAUAUUAGAAAGAACACCAAAUGCGAAGGCAACUUUCUGGGUCACUACUGACACUGAGGAGCGAAAGCAUGGGUAGCGAAGAGGAUU
rnacentral:rRNA from 1 species